rnacentral:lncRNA from 1 species
CAGCACCCAGACCAAGAGCCUGGAUCAGGGAUCCUGCUGCCUGAGACUUUCUAACUAGGCCAAGAAAUGAGGACACUGAACUACUUCUUCUUGAGAUGACGGAAUCUGGACCAGACCAGAGGGAGUGAGGUCUAUCUAUCCCACGAAGAAACUGAGAUGCAGCUUAUGAAAUAGAGGCUGACAAUGGCUCACCCACCUCCUUUGUAAGAGCCUGGUGUGUGCUACAGGAGCAUGGCCCAUAUA